rnacentral:rRNA from 1 species
CAGCCGCCGCGGUAAUACGGAGGGGGCUAGCGUUGUUCGGAAUUACUGGGCGUAAAGCGCACGUAGGCGGCUUGGUAAGUUAGAGGUGAAAGCCCGGAGCUCAACUCCGGAAUUGCCUUUAAGACUGCCGAGCUAGUAGGUGAGAGAGGUAAGUGGAAUUCCGAGUGUAGAGGUGAAAUUCGUAGAUAUUCGGAAGAACACCAGUGGCGAAGGCGGCUUACUGGCUCAUUCUAGACGCUGAGGUGCGAAAGCGUGGGGAGCAAACAGGAUUAGAUACCCCGGUAGUCCCUGUCUCUUAUAA